rnacentral:rRNA from 1 species
CAAAGGCUUCGGCCGGUAAAGGAUGGGGAUGCGUCUGAUUAGCUUGCCGGCGGGGUAACGGCCCACCGGGGCGACGAUCAGUAGGGGUUCUGAGAGGAAGGUCCCCCACAUUGGAACUGAGACACGGUCCAAACUCCUACGGGAGGCAGCAGUGAGGAAUAUUGGUCAAUGGGCGCGAGCCUGAACCAGCCAAGUAGCGUGCAGGACGACGGCCCUAUGGGUUGUAAACUGCUUUUAUACGGGGAUAAAGUAUGCCACGUGUGGUUUAUUGCAGGUACCGUAUGAAUAUGGACCGGCUAAUUCCGUGCCAGCAGCCGCGGUAAUACGGAAGGUCCGGGCGUUAUCCGGAUUUAUUGGGUUUAAAGGGAGCGUAGGCCGGGUUUUAAGCGUGCCGUGAAAUGUCGGGGCUCAACCUUGACACUGCGGCGCGAACUGGAGUCCUUGAGUGCGCGGAACGUAUGCGGAAUUCGUGGUGUAGCGGUGAAAUGCUUAGAUAUCACGAAGAACCCCGAUUGCGAAGGCAGCAUACGGCAGCGCUACUGACGCUGAAGCUCGAAGGCGCGGGUAUCGAACAGGAUUAGAUACCCUGGUAGUCCGCGCGGUAAAAGAUGGAUGCCCGCUGUUGGCGAUAUAUUGUCA